CUACGGAGGGUGCAAGCGUUACUCGGAAUCACUGGGCGUAAAGCGCGCGCAGGCGGCCUGAUAAGUUGGAUGUGAAAGCCUACGGCUCAACCGUAGAACUGCAUCCAAAACUGUCAGGCUAGAGUGUGGGAGAGGAAGAUGGAAUUAGUUGUGUAGGGGUAAAAUCCGUAGAGAUAACUAGGAAUACCAAAAGCGAAGGCAAUCUUCUGGAACACUACUGACGCUCAGGCGCGAAGGCGUGGGGAGCAAACAGGAUUAGAAACCCCGGUAGUCC
rnacentral:rRNA from 1 species